UACGGGGGGGGCAAGCGUUGUUCGGAAUUACUGGGCGUAAAGGGUUUGUAGGUGGCUUGUUAAGUCAGACGUGAAAUCCCUCAGCUUAACUGGGGAACUGCGUCUGAUACUGGCGAGCUUGAGUGCAGGAGAGGAACGCGGAAUUCCAGGUGUAGCGGUGAAAUGCGUAGAUAUCUGGAGGAACACCGGUGGCGAAGGCGGCGUUCUGGACUGCAACUGACACUCAAGUGCGAAAGCGUGGGGAGCAAACAGG
rnacentral:rRNA from 1 species